GUGGGGAAUAUUGGACAAUGGGGGCAACCCUGAUCCAGCGAUGCCGCGUGUGUGAAGAAGGCCUGCGGGUUGUAAAGCACUUUAGGUGGGGAGGAAAUUGCGUUGUUUAAGAGAUGGCGUAUUUGACAUUACCCACGGAAUAAGCACCGGCUAACUCUGUGCCAGCAGCCGCGGUAAGACAGAGGGUGCGAGCGUUAAUCGGAAUUACUGGGCGUAAAGGGCACGUAGGCGGAUAAGUAAGUCAGAUGUGAAAGUCCUGGGCUUAACCGAGGGAUAGCAUAUGAUACUGUUUAUCUAGAGUACAGGAGAGGGGAGUGGAAUUUCCGGUGUAGCGGUGAAAUGCUUAGAUAUCGGAAGGAACACCAGUGGCGAAGGCGGCUCUCUGGACUGUAACUGACGCUGAGGUGCGAAAGCGUGGGUAGCGAACAGG
rnacentral:rRNA from 1 species